AAUCAACGCUGGCGGCGUGCCUCAGACAUGCAAGUCGAACGAUUAAGACUUCCUUCGGGAAGUGCAUAAAGUGGCGCACGGGUGAGUAACACGUAAGUAAUCUACCCUCGAGUGGGGAAUAACGUUCGGAAACGAACGCUAAUACCGCAUAAUGCAGCGGCAUCGCAAGAUGACAGUUGUUAAAGGAGUAAUUCGCUUGAGGAGGAGCUUGCGGCAGAUUAGCUAGUUGGUAAGGUAACGGCUUACCAAGGCUACGAUCUGUAUCCGGUCUAAGAGGACGGUCGGACACACUGACACUGAAUAACGGGUCAGACUCCUACGGGAGGCAGCAGUCGGGAAUUUUGGGCAAUGGGCGAAAGCCUGACCCAGCAACGCCGCGUGAAGGAUGAAGUAUUUCGGUAUGUAAACUUCGAAAGAAUGGGAAGAAUAAAUGACGGUACCAUUUAUAAGCUCCGGCUAACUACGUGCCAGCAGCAGCCGCGGUAA
rnacentral:rRNA from 1 species